UGGGGAGGUGAAUAAUGUAAAAAAAAAAAAAAAAAAAAAAAAAAUUAGGGGAUUACUAUUAAUUAAAAUUUGUAGAUAGUUUAACAUAUAGGGCACUCAUAUAUUAUAAUUUUAUUUAAUAGGAAUAUUACUUAAGUUUAUUUAUGCACACAAUUGUUUUAUACCAUAUGUAUUUUAUAGAUAAAAAUAUAAUAAGUAAUUUUGCAAUGGGGAAACCAAAAUUUAUUUUAAAAGUGAGAAAAAAACCUUUUGUUGUUGGAAAACCAAAUUCAAAGGCAGAGGCUAAAGUCCAGAGGAAAAAAAUAGAUAUGAAAGAACUUCAGAUUCAACAAGCUGUGUCUUGGUGCAUAGAGCACAAAAAAAGAGGCUAUGCUGCUUUGCAAACUGGUAUGUUUUCUUUUAUCAAAGAUAGAGGAACCAUUGAUCGGAGAUUAGAUGGAAAACUGCUAAUAUAAAAAAGCAACAUCUGCGAAUUUUGACAGCAGAAGAAGAACACUCGAUUGUAGAAUUCAUUAAAAAUAAAAACAGGUGCCAUCAAGGAUUAUCGAGGAAGCAAGUCACAAGUCUAAUUAUUGAUGUUUUAAAAAUUAGAGACUAUUGCAACACCACGAAUCAAGGCGGUCGCAAUUUUGGUAAACUAUCUGAUAAUGCAAAACAUGUUGUUAAGACAGGAAAGCUUGGCCAGUCGUUUUGGCAGAGAUGGGAAUCAGAGCACCAUAGCUUAGUUCUAAAACGACAAGGAAAUGUAUCUAUUAACAGGGCAUUGAACUGCACAAGGAGUAUGGCUGAGUCACAUUUAGAUUCGUUGGCUGAAGAACUUAUUAAAUGUGAGAUUUUCACAAACUCAAAAAAACUUGAACCUGGUGUGUGGAAGGGUGAUAUUGAUACAAAAAGAAUUUUUAAUUUUGACCAAACACCCCAAUUCAUAAAUUAUGGGGUUGAUGGAACAAAUUCCGGGCUUGCGUAUGUUGCACGUGGGGACCUUGCAGAAAAAUGAUUAGGGAGAAUCGUGAAUCAGUAACAAUAUGCCCAGUUGUUUCUAACAAACCCUUAUAAAUAGUAAAAUUUAAUGGAAAAAAGUUCCUUCAGCAGUUGAAUUCCUAAUAAAGGAAGUAUAAGAUAUUGUUAUUAAUGACAAUUUUCUCUUUGAAGAAAUUCGAAGAGUAAAUUUAUAUUUAAAUGAAGAAAAAUUGAAGAAACGGAACAAUGAGAAAAUAGAACUUGAAAAAAGAUGAGUAGAUAUCUUUCGGCAUUUUAGAGUAGAACAUAUCCCAAAUAAAAACUUAAAAGUUUUAAUAGAAAUUUCUUUGUUGUCCGGACACUAAUGCUGCUGUUGAAAGAGUAUUUUCGCAAAGGAAUGAUUAUUGGAGCAGUGAAAAGUUGCAACUUUCUGUAAAAACAUUAUAUGCCGUCUUAACAGUCAAAUUUAAUAUGAAAUUUAAUAUGUUCGGAUGUGGCAACAUUAUUAGAGGAACAUCCUCAUUUAGCAUAAAAAAUCCACUGAAAAAAAAUAUUUUUUUAAAAGAAGAUAAAGUUUUUUAUUGUUUUUUCUUCUUUUUUUUUUUUACCUAUGAAAUACUUGAUAAGUGUACUCUUUUUGAACAAAAGAUAGUUGGUCCCCUUAAGAAAAUUAAAAAUGGAAUUAGAUUUUUGGGCACCACUUUUUAAACCAAUCUCUGAAAACCCAAUUUGGGCCCCCUAAUAUUGUGAAUCCUAGGCCUAGGCUCUGAUGGCAACAUUUACAAAAAGCAACAACUUUUGGCAAAUUUUAUUUAAAAUUUUUAAAAUGUAUGUUUAAAUUUUAUCACUAUUUUAGAUUUUUAUUGAAUAAAUUCCUAUAUAAAAAUAUAUUUUGCAUAAAAUAUUUAUGGACUAUUAUUCUCUUUUUUUCUAUCAGCUAUCAAGGUAAUUAUACUGACUUGAUCAGAUUCAGCAUUAAUCUGAAGCUAAUGAGUUUAUAGCUGAAGCUGAAAUAACAGCUGCAACCUCUACUUUAUAGACAACAUAGUUAAUGUGAUGUAUAUAAAUUAUAAU